rnacentral:rRNA from 1 species
UCAUGGCUCAGGAUGAACGCUAGCUACAGGCUUAACACAUGCAAGUCGAGGGGCAGCAUUGGGAUAGCUUGCUAUUCCAGAUGGCGACCGGCGCACGGGUGAGUAACGCGUAUCCAACCUUCCCUAUAGUAGAGAAUAGCCCGGCGAAAGUCGGAUUAAUGCUCUAUGUUGUGUUUUUGAGGACAUCUGACGAACACCAAAGGUUCACCGCUAUAGGAUGGGGAUGCGUCUGAUUAGCUUGUUGGCGGGGUAACGGCCCACCAAGGCGACGAUCAGUAGGGGUUCUGAGAGGAAGGUCCCCCACAUUGGUACUGAGACACGGACCAAACUCCUACGGGAGGCAGCAGUGAGGAAUAUUGGUCAAUGGGCGAGAGCCUGAACCAGCCAAGUAGCGUGCCAGGACGACUGCCCUAUGGGUUGUAAACUGCUUUUAUCAGGGAAUAAAGUGCGGCACGUGUGCCGUUUUGUAUGUACCUGAUGAAUAAGGACCGGCUAAUUCCGUGCCAGCCGCCGC